AACGACGAGUCUUUAGAUGAAGAUUUCUGUUUUAGACGACCUGUCACCUUGUUAGAUUUUUGGGCAGAAACAAAGAACUUGUCCUCCCCCUUGUGUCCAGAUAGGAAAAAAUAUAUGGAGGAAGCAAUAAAAUUGUUGGACUCUGCUCUCUCUCACAUCAAAUGGCGCCUCAAAUUUCCAGCCAAAAAUCGUCUUCAAAUAGAUAUUGUAGCUUUGCUGACAGAAAUGAGGCCAGUUAUAAUGGUUGACUAUGGUGGAAAGUUGCCUGAAUUACAAGACCAUCUUUGUGCUCUUGUUAAAUUUUGUCAACAGGAGUCGGCUAUUUUUGAGAAUCUUAGAGUGAUGGUGAUAGAAGAUAUGAUAUAUUUGAUACAUGUAAGAGGGAUUGCUGAGUAUGUUAAGUCAAGCUUGAAUUUGGAAGUAGAAUUGUUCUUCGUCAAUCUUGAAGAGGAUCCUCCCAAGAUGGUAACACAAGCGGAGGAAAGCACUUUAGUUACAGAGCUUAUAAGAGUUCAGAAGUUGUUCUCUUCAUUUUUUCCCUUGAAUGGAAAUAGCAAUGACCUCUUGUCACAUCAGAUGCCAGAUAGUGUGGCUAAUGCUGAAUCCUCCGCCAAUAAACCUGCAACUUCUCAAUCAUCUGAGUUUAUUGAUCUUAGUUGCUGCAUGCAAGACACUGAGAUCACUGUGCCAACUUUAAAUGGAUGGCUCCUUGGUUAUCCAGUCGUGUACUUGUUCAGCAAGCAGCACAUUGAAGAUGCCAUAUAUAAUCUUUCCACUAAAUAUCUUCGUAUCUUCCAAAUUCUAGUCAGCAGGUAUGCUUCACCCAAAAAAGGAUCUCAGCCAGAAGAACUGCUGAGAGACCAAGAUAAAGGAACAAAAAAUUUUAAGAGAUGAAAAGUGGUUGUGGUGGUGGUGGAGGUGAUAAGAUCGCAACUGGGUUUCUGUGGCCUUGCAGAUAGGAAAAAAGAAAGAGAAAAACAGAGGUACACAAAUGAUUUUGCUGGUGAAAAAGGCAUAAGAAAGGAGGGUUAUCCUAGUAUAAAUGUGUAAUCUGGUUGGGGUUCCUUAAAGCUGCUGCCAAUCUGAACUAGCCUUGAUUUUUCAUCCUUAUUUACACAAACCAGCCCAUCUCCGUUUCAUUUCCCCUGUAUAAGGGAUCCAGUUGGGGCAGGACAGAGCAGCUUCUCGGUGCCAUAUGAGCUGAGCAUGGGAGGAAGCAAUGAACCAUGGGCCGUGGCAUUUCUUGCCCAAAUGCAGACGAAGUGGGCAAAAUGCAAGCCAACUUGGAGGUCCUUGAAGAUGGAGGUGAGUGAAUGCUAUCCACAG